rfam:Camelus ferus unplaced genomic scaffold scaffold1103, whole genome shotgun sequence.
GGGGGUGUAGCUCAGUGGUAGAGUUCAUGCUUAGCAAGAACGAGGUCCUGGGUUCAAUCCCCAGUACCUCUA